rnacentral:rRNA from 1 species
CAGGCGCGUAAAUUACCCAAUGCCUGAACACAGGGAGGUAGUGACAAGAAAUAACAAUACGAGUACCAUUAUGGUUUUGUAAUUGGAAUGAGUACAAUGUAAAUACCUUAACGAGUAUCGAUUGGAGGGCAAGUCUGGUGCCAGCAGCCGCGGUAAUUCCAGCUCCAAUAGCGUAUAUUAAAGUUGUUGCAGUUAAAAAGCUCGUAGUUGGAUUUCUGAUGAAGAUGGCGGUCCGUGUAUUUGAUACAUGUGUACCGUUAUAUAAUUUUCAUCAUACUUGUAUUUUUAUAGUUUACUAUAUGAAUACAUCAUUUACUGUGAAUAAAUUAGAGUGUUUAAAGCAGGCAAUUGCUUGAAUACUUCAGCAUGGAAUAAUAAGAUAGGACUUUGGUGCUAUUUUGUUGGUUGCGUACCGAAGUAAUGAUUAAUAGGGAUAGUUGGGGGUAUUCAUAUUUCAUUGUCAGAGGUGAAAUUCUUGGAUUUAUGAAAGAUGAACAACUGCGAAAGCAUUUACCAAGGAUGUUUUCAUUAAUCAAGAACGAAAGUCAGGGGAUCGAAGAUGAUUAGAUACCAUCGUA